ensembl:lncRNA
CACACACACACACACACACACACACACACAGGACUCCAAGCCCAGAGGCUCAGCAUUGUCGCCGCCACGGAGACAAGUCUACUCCGUUACGGCCCUACAGAUCAAGAUACCUGUACUUUCGGCCCUGGGCGACCAAGGCUGAGUUAGAGAGAGAGAGAGAGAGAGAGAGAGAGAGAGAGAGAGAGAGACACAGAGACAGAGAGAGAGAGAUGAAAAGUGGAGAGGAUUUGCCGACGAAAAGGAGGACAGCGAUGGAAAAUACUGUCAGAUUGAUGGAGAGGAGAGGAGAGAAGAGGAGAGGGGAGGAGAUGGGAGAGGAGGGGAGUGAGGAGGGGAAGAGAAGAGAUGAGCGGUUGGCUCUGUCCCAGUUCGUCUCGUCUAUCCGUCUUCCCUAAUGGGGUGACACUCUGACAGGUCUUACAGCAGACACACCAGAUACAACUAUAGAUCUUUAGCCACACUGUGUGAAAUAUAUAGAAAGAUACAUCUAUAUAUUCACACAAAAAACUAGUCUGUGUUAAAUAAAGAUGUAUAUAUCUAUCUAGUUGCAUAAACUCGCAAUAGCAUACGAGUCAGGCAGCUCAGCAGUGCCCCCUGCUGGUUGCUGAAGAAACAGCAGAGCGGCUCAGCAGUGACGUGUGCUGUUGGCUGAAGGAACAGCAGAGCUGCUGAGCGCUGAACCCUGCUGGUGGCUGAAGGAACAGCAGGUGGACGGGGACAUGACAGUCCGACUUCAUCCAUCUGUCGGUCACGUCGUCUAUGAACUUUCAGCAGAGCGCUUAGCUGUAGAAGAGGCUGCUGGCCACUGUGACAAUAUUAUAACAUAAUAUUAAUAAUAAUAUUAAUACUAAACAGUAACACCUCAACAAGCUGUAUGGAUUAUCCUGAAUAUACCUAUAAUAACAAAUCUCACUUAGUAUACAUUCCCCAAAUCACGUCGUUUGUUCGUUUAUUAAUUAGCUAAGAAAUGAAUGACAUCAAAAUGGAAAAGAAAUAAACAGAAUAUGAAAGUGUUUUUUAAUUAAAAAUAAAUAACAGGUGUUAC